GGGCGCGGGGCGCGGGCGGCAGCCCGAGGAGCCGGUCUCUUACCUGCUGCCCGCUUGGGUGCCUGCUGUUUCCGCCUGGGCAUCGCUCUACUUUCCUCCAGUCCCACUUCUGGCGCCCCAGCCCCGAGCCGCGCGCGGGGCCCGCUGUCUCUCGCCUCGCCGGGUGUCCUCCGUCUCUCGCCCGGCGGCUCCCAGGACGUCACUCGGCCUCUGCCCCCCGACGAUCCCCCCCCGCAACUCCGCCGCCGCGGGCCGGAGACCCCUCUCGGGGCGCAGACGCGGGGCCGGAGCCUGCGGCGGCGAGUGGAGGUGGUCUCUGCCUUGUUUGUUUGUUUGGGGUUUUGUUUUUUCCUCCCUCUGUUUUUGUUUUUGCUUUUGGAUGUAUAUAUUUUUUGUUUUUGCUUUUUUUUUGUGGUGACUGGUGAGACACUUGAUUUCUUUAUUAAACAUCCAAGACCGGGUUCAGAUGGGAGGACGAGGGGCGCACACGCGCCGCACGCACGCGCGUAAAGAUAAGGAAGAAAAAAGCAAUCCUGGGAAGCGAGGCGGGUUUCUUCUUUCUCUCCUUCCUCCUCCUUCUGCUCUUUCCCUCCUGCUCCUGCACUUCCUCCUCCUCCUCCUCCUCCUCCUCUGCUCUUCCUCCUCCUCCUCCUCCCUCCUACUCCUCCUCCUCCUCCUCCUGCUGCUGCUGCUGGGGCUCGGCUCUGGCUCGAUGGCGGCGCCCCGAGAUCCCUGCGGCCGGGGCCGGCUGUGGCUGUCGUCAGAUCCCCGUCUGGCCAGGGUUGAGCCCAGGGCUCUGUGCAUGCUGGGUAGGCAUGCCAACUCCUGAGCUGAUUCGUGGGUCACCUAGAAAAGAAAUCCAAUAAUAAUAACAACAUUAAUUGCAGCUGUCACAUAUUGAACACAGACAAAGUGCCAGACACUGUGCUAAAUGCCUGACAUGCAAAAUCUAUUGACUCCAAUCCAUAUAACAACCUUAUAAAGCAAGGUAUUAUUACUUGCAUUUGCUAUGUAAAGAAGCUCAGAUUGGAGGGUUUGUCAGUGGUUUUCAAACUUGAGUGCACAAGAAGCUGAGUACUCUCCCAGAAUUUCUGACUCAGUAGGUCUGGGCUGGGGCCCCAGGAUUUCCAUUUUCACAAGUCCCCAGGUGCUGCUACUGCUGACCUGAGGGCCACGUGGGAGAAACAUCAAUUCAAGUUGGCACAAUGAGUAAGUGAGAGAAUGAGUUUCCAAAAUUAAAAAUCUGACUUGGAAAUAUACUCUUAGAAAUCUAUAUUCCUUCAAAUUUUCUAACAUUAAACUUUUGAAUUAAUAGCUGGUUGCUGCAUUCACAAAGCACAGUAGCUUGGAUGGCUGCUUAUUUGUAUUAAAUGUUCUUUUCCAUGAAGUUCUUCAUGGCACAAAACAGUUGGUGAUACCUUCAAAGGGGAGGAUUUCAGGGACAUUUGCAGAAGGAGCAUAAAGUGCUUAAGUCACCUCUACUUGGCCAUGCUUGAGAUCAGCAGCCCUGAUGGCGUAAAGGAUUUGCUAGGGCUGUGACCCACUUCCAGCUGCAAGAUUCAUCAGAGCUUCCAAGAUGGAGCCCAGCUGAGCAAGCCACACCUGGCUACCAUCUGUGCCUGAGAGGCAUGGUGUUACCUGGGUUCCCAACCAGGAAGAGCUCUCAACAAGUACCCAACUUGGGCAUCAGAGGGCUCUGGAUCCAUUGAAUAUUGCUCAGCCACCAUGAGUUGAGUAGCUUUCCUCUAUCACACCUUUCCCCCAUGAUAUUUCUGCUGUACCACAGGCCUAAAAGCAAUGGAAGCAACUAACCAUGGACUGAACUUCUGAAACCAUGAGCCAAAACAAAUCUUUGUUCUUAUAAAUUGAUUUUAUCAGGUAUUUUUUUCAGAGCAAUAAAAUGAUAAUACAACCAUAAUAAAUACACUUUGGCUACAAAGAAAAGAAAACUAAGUCACACUGAUCUAAGGAUAAAAUGGAAAAAUUUUGGCAGUACAUAACCCAGAAGUCCUGCAGUUGAUAGUUUUAAUAGGCACUGUUACUUUUCCUUUCAGCACUCACUCCAUUGAUGCUUUCUGACAAAGCUCAGAUUUUCUGGGGUAUCUAACUCUUUCUCAUUUGACUUCUGUACCUCUGGGCAAGCAGGCCCUCCCACUAGCUCAUGGCUAAGCCAAUCAGCAGUCUUCGUUUCCCCCAUUGAUCACAGUGAUUGGUUCUUGAGAAGACAAAGGUCCAAAAAAAGUAGAAUAUCAGAAAUUCCACCUGAGUGCUUUCUUUUGCUGAACGUGAAGGGGCAAAAUCAUUGCUGGCAGCUAUCUUAUAACCAAGAAGAGGAGGAAGCUGCCUUAGAGUGAAGUAAAAAAGAGAUGAAGAGUAAAAACAAGAACAAAAAUUAAAACCCAAGAUCUGGAUGACACCAUUGAUCCAGUGAAUAAACAUUCUGGAGUCAAUCUGCCCACGUCUAGACUUAUUGUUAAAUGAGUCAAAAACAAUUUUCCUUAUGACUUAGAGGCAUUGAGUUGGGCUUUCUGUUAUUUUAAAUAGGAGGAUAAAAUAUCUAGCUCAGUCACAGUUAUAACCAGAUGCUCGCUCAUCAUGGGCCUCUACUUUUCUUCAUGUGGGCUUCACUCAGCCUGGCUUACCCACAGUGUCCACGGGCAGCCUCGUCCCCAGCAGCAAUGCCAGGCCUUCAGACCUCCUGGCUGUGUUACUCUGGGUCUGUAUCAGUCUUUGAACCAAGCACUGAGGUUGGGGAAUGGAAAACCACCAAUCUGGGAUGGAUGCCCUCUCCUGGGACCAGGGCUGCAGCCUAAUGCAUUUACAUCACAAUGUUUGAGAAAGUUGAUUCUUCAUAUUAGGGAAUUGUUACUAGAAACUUGGGACAUGGAUGUUGGACCAUCAGAAAGCAUGAAGAUUUGCCGUAAUAUUUAAUUUUCUAUUUGGACAUCUUACAUGUCCCACUACAAAAGGAAAAGUUAAGGUGAAGUGAUUGCUCCCAACAGUUUUAUCACCAAAGACCACCUCUCUUGCCAUUCCCUGUUGCCCACUGCUGCCACCAAAUUAAACUAACUUAGGAAAUAUUUUGUCUGUAAUUCACCUAUGCACCCAUCACUACUUUCACGCACUAGUUGUGGAGUAUCCAUUAGCUUCCAGUCUUGUUCUGUUCCAUGGGAGCACAGCAAUGACAAAUGUUGGAAGAAAUGUGAUCACUCUGAUCAAUGACAAAAGAAUUCAGGAGUUUGCUGGAGGUUUUCAUUCAGUGUUAAAAAGCUGUAGCUGUAGUAGAAAACCCUUCAUGCUCAUGGUCUUUCUAUUCUGCUUGGAAAGUAGGUAUGAGAAUGGGAUGUCUGGAGCAGAGGCAGAAGAUGUGAAGCCAGGAAGUGACGUGGAUGAGGAGGAAUUGGCAGGUUGAGCCUAGUGGGACAAAAAGAACAGUGAAGGUCUGGAGCCAUGAUGGUCAGCACAAACUCUAGGUCAGUGGGGAACCUAGACUCAUACUCACCCACGUUUCUCAUUAGGUGACAGAGCCUAGGUCUUCAUUGCUCAAGGCACAGCAAGAGUAUUCUGUCACAAAGAGUCAAAUGCUUUCCUGAUUGCUACAGUCAGAUCCAGGAGAGGUCCCUGAGCAGCUUGUGAUCUGAAGUUCUGUAGUGAACUGAUAAUUACGAACAUCACCAGCGUCCAUCCUGAAAAGAAAGCACUGGAGCUUAUAUCAGGGGACCUAAUCAUUCAAAGAAACUACAGGUAUGCAACAAGCAAUAAUAUUUCUUUAGUAGUUUAGAGAAUUAGGUGAGAGAUCCACAUAGUAAAUAUUUUCCUGUUGCAGCCCAUAUUGGCCUCUGUUGCAUCUACCCAGCUCUGCUGAGUGCAGUGGAAAAGAAGACAUAGACCAUAUGUAAAUGAACAGGCAUGGUAGUGUUCCAAUAAAACUUUAUUUACAAAAACAGGCAGUUGGCUGGAUUGGCCAGUAGUUUGCUGACUCCCAAAUUAGCCACUCACAAUUGAGUGUGCAAUAAAGACAGCAAUGAAGGAGACUGUGUGCCCCUUAUUAAAACACAGAAAACCAGUCAUAGUCCUGCACUGCGAAUUUUCCAAUGCCAGGUCCUUACGUGCACACACUCUGUAACUCCCUGAUGCAUCUAUCUCCUGCCUUCCUGUUCUCCCACAGCUAUGGAGGAUGAGAUGGGUCAGGUAGGCAUAGAAGCACUAAUGGGAGCAGUUGGGAAAGUAUAGAGCAGCCCUCUCUGAUGAAAACAACACACCAUGGUAAUGUGAAUCAGGCAAAGAUACAAAACCAGCCCUGGAUGAUUUUUGCUAGAAUUUUUGUGACCCACGUACACUGCGUUUGUCAUCAGCUCAAAGACAGCAGUUGUGGUUAGAAGAAAUCUUCAAACCACGUAAUGUGUGCUGCACUGUGAUUUAUAGGGGGUGUGAUUUAUAUUGUGAAUUUUAAACCUUUUAAUAUACCUCACAAGAAGUUGUACAGUUCAUAAAACAUCACAAGAGGCUUCCAAAGAGAAACCCAAAUGAAGAAAAGAUACAUUUUGCCAUCUGAGUUUUGAAUGGAGCUUCUGCACAGUGCUGAAGCCUGAGCUGAUCAGGUUUGCUUAAUCCUACCUUUCCCUGACAAGAUGAAUAGUUGUAGAACAUAGCACCCUUUUCCGUAUCUCACACCAUGGAUCUAUUAGUAUUGCUAUUUAUUGGAAAGAGGAGAGAGUGCUAAUUUAUACAUACAUUUGUUUUGUAAAAAUUCUACUCCUAUUCUCUGAUUGGUCCAAAUCCCCCAGAAUAUUACGCUUCUGUGAUCUGUAAUGUGGCUGGAAGGGGAAAUGCUAAGUCGUUUAAGAAUUUCAAAUUCCUAUACUGCCACUUGUAGUGAACUGUGUCAUUUACAGAGCCAUGCAGUUUUCCCCCUGCCCAAAAUGUCACAAAAAGAAAAGUGAUUCACAGCAGUUUACACAUGCCAAACACAUUUGUCGAAUAAACAGCACAGAGCAAACUGCAAUUGAAAUACCACCCCGUAAAGAAACACAGUAGUUAAUCUGAUUUUAAUUGAAAUGUUGCAUGUUGAUACCUUUUGUUUAUGCAUGAGACAAAGCUGAUAUAAAGGAGAAUAAUGAUGAUAAUCAUAUUCGAGGCAUUUUGAAGGUUGGGACUUCUGAAGCACUUCAGGAAGAAAAGAAAUACCACAUGUACUCAUGCUAAAGAAAUGUUGCAUUUGGUUUAGAAAAUGCUUCCAAUAUGGUAAUGAAUCAGGUAAAAUUUCCAUUUCAGUGCAGUGCUGAAUUGAGCUACUGUGUGCUUCAGGAGCUAUGUUUGGGCACUCGAUAAUUAAAUAAAAAGCUGAAUUAUUGGAUAUAAUGGACCCCAAUUGUUUUUGGUGCCUAACUUUUAUUCAUCCUCCUCCUUUAAAUAAUACCAUUUAGAAUUUGCUUAGGGAAGUUCAUUUUCUACUGUGCUCAACAAUGCCAUUCUUCGUGGUAUGGCUCCAUAAUUUCUCAGGGAUGAGCUAAAGCUAAUAACCUCCCACACUCUCCUUCUGGCAACCAGGAUUCGACCCAGGGUGGGUAAAACUAUGUCAGAAGCAAGAUCUGUAGGUGUGCUAGCAUUCUAGGUAAAAAGAAGGGUUUCUUUUUUUCUUGAGAACCGCAUAUGGGGGGAGCCAUUUCCUCUGAAGUCUAUGUAAUAUGAAGAUAGGAAGAUUUGAGUAGUGUCCUUAUUACCAG
ensembl:lncRNA